rnacentral:rRNA from 1 species
UACAGAGGGGGCAAGCGUUGUUCGGAAUUCCUGGGCGUAAAGGGCGCGUAGGCGGCCCGCUAAGUCGAACGUGAAAUCCCCGGGCUCAACCCGGGAACUGCGUCCGAUACUGGUGGGCUUGAAUCCGGGAGAGGGAUGCGGAAUUCCAGGUGUAGCGGUGAAAUGCGUAGAUAUCUGGAGGAACACCGGUGGCGAAGGCGGCAUCCUGGACCGGUAUUGACGCUGAGGCGCGAAAGCCAGGGGAGCAAACGGG